rnacentral:rRNA from 1 species
UACGGUAGGGGGCGAGCGUUGUCCGGAAUCAUUGGGCGUAAAGGCGCGUGUAGGCGGCCCGGUAAGUCCGACUGUGAAAGUCCAGGGCUCAACCCUGGGAUGACCGGUGGAUACUGUCGGGCUCGAGUCCGGAAGAGGCGAGUGGAAUUCCGUGGUGUAGACGGUGAAAUGGCGCAGAGUAUAAGGAGGAACGACCUAGCGUGAGUGAAGAACC